UAAGAAUUUUGAUAUAAGAUAUGAAUCGUCAACGAAAUGAUGGUAAUGAUAGAAGAAGAGAUGCACGUGCCCAGAGGCAGAGGGGUGCGAGGGAUGCCCAGGUUAGAGCAAGAAGACCAGCUCAACCAGAUCCCAACAUAGCCUUGAUAGCAUCACUAAGACAGCAAGUGGCAGAUCUGGACGAUGCGCUGACUCGCUUGCAGCUCCACAAC